CACACUAUCAUUAACUGAAUCCAUAGGUUAAUGAGGCGAACCGGGGGAACUGAAACAUCUAAGUACCCCGAGGAAAAGAAAUCAACCGAGAUUCCCCCAGUAGCGGCGAGCGAACGGGGAGGAGCCCAGAGCCUGAAUCAGUGUGUGUGUUAGUGGAAGCGUCUGGAAAGGCGCGCGAUACAGGGUGACAGCCCCGUACACAAAAAUGCACAUGCUGUGAGCUCGAUGAGUAGGGCGGGACACGUGGUAUCCUGUCUGAAUAUGGGGGGACCAUCCUCCAAGGCUAAAUACUCCUGACUGACCGAUAGUGAACCAGUACCGUGAGGGAAAGGCGAAAAGAACCCCGGCGAGGGGAGUGAAAAAGAACCUGAAACCGUGUACGUACAAGCAGUGGGAGCACGCUUAGGCGUGUGACUGCGUACCUUUUGUAUAAUGGGUCAGCGACUUAUAUUCUGUAGCAAGGUUAACCGAAUAGGGGAGCCGAAGGGAAACCGAGUCUUAACUGGGCGUUAAGUUGCAGGGUAUAGACCCGAAACCCGGUGAUCUAGCCAUGGGCAGGUUGAAGGUUGGGUAACACUAACUGGAGGACCGAACCGACUAAUGUUGAAAAAUUAGCGGAUGACUUGUGGCUGGGGGUGAAAGGCCAAUCAAACCGGGAGAUAGCUGGUUCUCCCCGAAAGCUAUUUAGGUAGCGCCUCGUGAAUUCAUCUCCGGGGGUAGAGCACUGUUUCGGCAAGGGGGUCAUCCCGACUUACCAACCCGAUGCAAACUGCGAAUACCGGAGAAUGUUAUCACGGGAGACACACGGCGGGUGCUAACGUCCGUCGUGAAGAGGGAAACAACCCAGACCGCCAGCUAAGGUCCCAAAGUCAUGGUUAAGUGGGAAACGAUGUGGGAAGGCCCAGACAGCCAGGAUGUUGGCUUAGAAGCAGCCAUCAUUUAAAGAAAGCGUAAUAGCUCACUGGUCGAGUCGGCCUGCGCGGAAGAUGUAACGGGGCUAAACCAUGCACCGAAGCUGCGGCAGCGACGCUGAUGCGUUGUUGGGUAGGGGAGCGUUCUGUAAGCCUGCGAAGGUGUGCUGUGAGGCAUGCUGGAGGUAUCAGAAGUGCGAAUGCUGACAUAAGUAACGAUAAAGCGGGUGAAAAGCCCGCUCGCCGGAAGACCAAGGGUUCCUGUCCAACGUUAAUCGGGGCAGGGUGAGUCGACCCCUAAGGCGAGGCCGAAAGGCGUAGUCGAUGGGAAACAGGUUAAUAUUCCUGUACUUGGUGUUACUGCGAAGGGGGGACGGAGAAGGCUAUGUUGGCCGGGCGACGGUUGUCCCGGUUUAAGCGUGUAGGCUGGUUUUCCAGGCAAAUCCGGAAAAUCAAGGCUGAGGCGUGAUGACGAGGCACUACGGUGCUGAAGCAACAAAUGCCCUGCUUCCAGGAAAAGCCUCUAAGCAUCAGGUAACAUCAAAUCGUACCCCAAACCGACACAGGUGGUCAGGUAGAGAAUACCAAGGCGCUUGAGAGAACUCGGGUGAAGGAACUAGGCAAAAUGGUGCCGUAACUUCGGGAGAAGGCACGCUGAUAUGUAGGUGAAGCGACUUGCUCGUGGAGCUGAAAUCAGUCGAAGAUACCAGCUGGCUGCAACUGUUUAUUAAAAACACAGCACUGUGCAAACACGAAAGUGGACGUAUACGGUGUGACGCCUGCCCGGUGCCGGAAGGUUAAUUGAUGGGGUCAGCGCAAGCGAAGCUCUUGAUCGAAGCCCCGGUAAACGGCGGCCGUAACUAUAACGGUCCUAAGGUAGCGAAAUUCCUUGUCGGGUAAGUUCCGACCUGCACGAAUGGCGUAAUGAUGGCCAGGCUGUCUCCACCCGAGACUCAGUGAAAUUGAACUCGCUGUGAAGAUGCAGUGUACCCGCGGCAAGACGGAAAGACCCCGUGAACCUUUACUAUAGCUUGACACUGAACAUUGAGCCUUGAUGUGUAGGAUAGGUGGGAGGCUUUGAAGUGUGGACGCCAGUCUGCAUGGAGCCGACCUUGAAAUACCACCCUUUAAUGUUUGAUGUUCUAACGUUGACCCGUGAUCCGGGUUGCGGACAGUGUCUGGUGGGUAGUUUGACUGGGGCGGUCUCCUCCUAAAGAGUAACGGAGGAGCACGAAGGUUGGCUAAUCCUGGUCGGACAUCAGGAGGUUAGUGCAAUGGCAUAAGCCAGCUUGACUGCGAGCGUGACGGCGCGAGCAGGUGCGAAAGCAGGUCAUAGUGAUCCGGUGGUUCUGAAUGGAAGGGCCAUCGCUCAACGGAUAAAAGGUACUCCGGGGAUAACAGGCUGAUACCGCCCAAGAGUUCAUAUCGACGGCGGUGUUUGGCACCUCGAUGUCGGCUCAUCACAUCCUGGGGCUGAAGUAGGUCCCAAGGGUAUGGCUGUUCGCCAUUUAAAGUGGUACGCGAGCUGGGUUUAGAACGUCGUGAGACAGUUCGGUCCCUAUCUGCCGUGGGCGCUGGAGAACUGAGGGGGGCUGCUCCUAGUACGAGAGGACCGGAGUGGACGCAUCACUGGUGUUCGGGUUGUCAUGCCAAUGGCACUGCCCGGUAGCUAAAUGCGGAAGAGAUAAGUGCUGAAAGCAUCUAAGCACGAAACUUGCCCCGAGAUGAGUUCUCCCUGACUCCUUGAGAGUCCUGAAGGAACGUUGAAGACGACGACGUUGAUAGGCCGGGUGUGUAAGCGCAGCGAUGCGUUGAGCUAACCGGUACUAAUGAACCGUGAGGCUUAACCUUACAACGCCGAAG
rnacentral:rRNA from 1 species